rnacentral:rRNA from 1 species
UAAGGAAUAUUGGUCAAUGGACGCAAGUCUGAACCAGCCAUGUCGCGUGAAGGAUGAAGGUCCUCUGGAUUGUAAACUUCUUUUAUCUGGGACGAAAACGGGAUUUUUAUCUCAAUUGACGGUACCAGAGGAAUAAGCACCGGCUAACUCCGUGCCAGCAGCCGCGGUAAUACGGAGGGUGCGAGCGUUAUCCGGAUUUACUGGGUUUAAAGGGUGCGUAGGUGGGCUUAUAAGUCAGUGGUGAAAUCUCCGAGCUUAACUUGGAAACUGCCGUUGAUACUAUAGGUCUUGAAUUAUCUGGAGGUAAGCGGAAUAUGUCAUGUAGCGGUGAAAUGCUUAGAUAUGACAUAGAACACCAAUUGCGAAGGCAGCUUACUACAUAUAAAUUGACGCUGAGGCACGAAAGCGUGGGGAUCAAACA